ensembl:piRNA 21ur-9405 ncRNA
UUGGUAGCCAUUCUUGAAAAU